AUUGGCCACGGUAAAACCAAGUAGCCACGGCAACAGCCACUAAGAUUUUCGUGGCUAGUUAAGAAACCACGAUAUUGCCACUAAUAUUUCCAUGUCUAUGUACAUAGCCACAGUAUAGCCACUGUUUCAACGUGGUUUUUAUAAAAUAGCCACAAUGUUGCCAUGAACUUUCCGUGGCUAUUUGAAAUCCUAAUCCCUAAACAUAUUUUUAAAUUUUAAACUCUAAACAUAAACAUUAAGACUCUAAUAUUUUCAUAAUAAAACUUCAAUAUUAAAUUCAACCUCAAAUUUUAAUCAUUUGAUUUUUUUUAUAUCAAAUCUUUAAAAAAAAUUUAUCUUAAAUCUUUAAGCUCCAUUUAAAAUCCUAGCUAAUCUUAGUUUUAAACUAUACAUUCUUUAAUCCUAUGUUUUUUUAAAAAAUUCCAAUUAUAACAUUUUAAACUUAAACUCUAAAUCUUAAAUAUAAAACUAUAAAUUUAACUUUUCAAAACUUUUUGUCAAACCAUAUAUCAUAUAAACUCAAAUCAUAUAUCAUACUUCAAACCCUAAAUCUCAAACUUAAACCUUACAUACAACCAUAAACUCUUACAUUUAACCUUAACAUUUAAAUUUAAGCCUUGACAUUUAAACUCAAAUCCUAUUUCUCAAACUACAAAUUCUAUAUUAAAUUAAAUCAUUAAACAAUAUAUCUUAUAUUUAACCAUCAUACCCUAUACAUUUUCUAAACAUUAAACGCUAACCAUUUUUUUUAUAAAAUAAAUUAUCAAAGUAUAUGAAGAAUUAUACACUGUUUUUAAAAGUAUGAACUUUUUUUUUAAAAUUAUACAUAUAAUAAAAACUAAACAACUAUAAAAAUGGACAACAUAAAUAAAACACACAGAUUUUUUUAUUUCUUUAUUUUUUCUUUUCUACUUACCUCUCUUUUCUCAACCAAUAAGAAGGAGUUGCGUGGAUUGAUAAUUUUAACCACUAGAUUAAAAUUAUGAAGGGUCCAGAUUAAAAUCCUUUUGUGUUUCUUUCUUCUUCUUUUUUUCUCUUUUCCGCUCUCCUUCGUCUGAUUUUUCUUCUUUCAUUCUAUCUCUUUCUCUGUAACAAUCGACUCAUGUAUUCACCUCCUCACCAUCACCACCGGUCGACCUCUCUUCGUCUUCCUCUUCUCUGGCUUCACCUCCGCUAUUUCUAGUUGAUAUGUUUUGUUUUGUUUAUAGAUCUGAGAAGGAGCAGUGAUGAACCUUCAAGGAGAACGUGGGUGACGGAGCAGACGGUGAAGAAGAAGACGGUGUGACGGUAAAAGUCUUCAUUGGUCAAUGCAAAUCUGACCCUUCCCUUCUCUCGACUCCUUCAGCGAGUAUCUCAAGAGGCACAACGUGAAUCUGACGAUGAAGGGAAGGAGAAGUGGUGAUGUGGGAAGAUGAUGAAACGGAAAAGAGAAGUGGUGGUGAAGCGUAGUGCGGCGCCUCCGGUGAAGCGUAGUGCGGUGUAUAUAUGUAUUUAUGUAUAUAUAUUAAUGUGUAUUUUAUGUUUUAGUAUCAAUUAAUAAAAAUUAUUUGUUUGGCCUU